rnacentral:rRNA from 1 species
UACGAGGGGAGCAAGCGUUGUUCGGAUUUACUGGGCGUAAAGGGCGCGUAGGCGGCGUGACAAGUCACUUGUGAAAUCUCCGGGCUUAACCCGGAAAGGUCAAGUGAAACUGUCGUGCUAGAGUACAGAAGGGGCAACUGGAAUUCUCGGUGUAGCGGUGAAAUGCGUAGAUAUCGAGAGGAACACCUGCGGCGAAGGCGGGUUGCUGGGCUGAUACUGACGCUGAUGCGCGAAAGCCAGGGGAGCAAACGGG